rnacentral:rRNA from 1 species
UGAAUACGAGACGCUAAGGCGUCGAAGUAGUGUAUGUCAUACUUCCAAGAAAAGCUUGCACUGUCAUAGAUAAAAAACGCCUGUACCAUAACCGACACAGGUGGGUAGGUAGAGUAUACUAAGGGGCGCGAGAUAACUCUCUCUAAGGAACUCGGCAAAAUAACUCCGUAACUUCGGGAGAAGGAGUGCCUUAUUUAUAAGGCUGCAAUAACAAGAUCCAAGCAACUGUUUAUCAAAAACACAGGUCUCCGCUAAGUCGUAAGACGAUGUAUGGGGGCUGACGCCUGCCCAGUGCCAGAAGGUUAAAGAAGUUGGUUAGCUUUUGCGAAGCUGAUAACUGAAGCCCUGGUGAACGGCGGCCGUAACAAUAACGGUCCUAAGGUAGCGAAAUUCCUUGUCGGGUAAGUUCCGACCCGCACGAAAGGCGUAAUGAUUUGGAUACUGUCUCGGAGAGGGGCUCGGUGAAAUAGACUUGUCUGUGAAGAUGCGGACCACCUGCACCAGGACAGAAAGACCCUAUGAAGCUUUACUGUAACUUGAAAUUGAAAUUGGACUUUAUUCGCGCAGCAUAGGUGGGAGGCGUUGAUUAUAAUCUCGUGGGAUUAUUGGAGCCAUCAGUGAGAUACCACUCUUGUAAUGUUAGAUUUCUAACUUUGAAUCAUUAUCUGGUCAAAGAACAGUUUCAGGCGGGCAGUUUGACUGGGGCGGUCGCCUCCUAAACGGUAACGGAGGCGUACAAAGGUUUCCUCUGAACGGUUAGAAAUCGUAUCUACAGUGUAAAGGCAUAAGGAAGCUUGACUGUGAGACCUACAAGUCGAGCAGGGACGAAAGUCGGUCUUAGUGAUCUGACGGUACUGAGUGGAAAGGCCGUCACUCAACGGAUAAAAGUUACUCUAGGAUAACAGGCUGAUCUCCCCCAAGAGUUCACAUCGACGGGGAGGUUUGGCACCUCGAUGUCGGCUCAUCGCAUCCUGGGGCGGUAGUACGUCCCAAGGGUUGGGCUGUUCGCCCAUGAAAGCGGUACGCGAGCUGGGUUCAGAACGUCGUGAGACAGUUCGGUCCAUAUCCGGUGUAGGCGUUAGAAUAUUGAGAGGAGCCUUCUUUAGUACGAGAGGACCGAGAAGGACAUACCUCUGGUGUACCAGUUAUCGUGCCAACGGUAAACGCUGGGUAGCUAUGUAUGGAGUGGAUAACCGCUGAAAGCAUCUAAGUGGGAAGCCCACCUCAAGAUAAGUAUUCUCAGC